UUUCCUUCUCCUUGCCCAUGCCGCUUGCUAAGCCCGGGCCGCCGUGCCUGUGUAUGGCCGUCUGCCUGCUCCACAGGGAUAUGUAGAGUGUUAUCCACCUGGCCAGGUCCUUGGGGAGAUUUUAAAUGUAGCUUUUAAAGCAUCCGGCAACAUCUGCUGAGUGAUUUUGGCUUCCUCUGUCUCCCACUUGAAAUACGUUUGGCUGGACUUGCGUGCUGGGAGCUGACUUGGAAGGACUGGGCUGGCAUCAAGUGUUUUCUUAUGCUUCAUGGCUCCCAUGCAUGAUGAUGAGAACACACCUGAGUCAAAUCAAGAUUCCCAUGGUACUCGCGGUUGAGAACAGCUUUAAGAUCCUGGCUCUCAGAAAAAGCUACUGUGCUCUGUGUGAAAAUGAAGAUGUUCCUGGAGGCAGGCUGCUCUGGGAACCUGCUUGGCAUCCCCCUCUUUCGUAUGACCCUCGUGUGGGUCCUGGCCUGCUGCUGGCUUUGUGCUCUCCUGCUCCCAAAGGAAAGGCAAGCCCUAAGGAUCCCCAGAUGCCAGACAGCUCCGACUGCCACCUCUGUGAAGCCUUGUUGCACACUGAGAUAUUUUGCUGCUGCUGUAGCACUGGCAGGGUGAAAUCAAGGGCUCCUCUGAAUGGCAAUGAGGUCCAGGACAAACACGUGGGGCUGAGGACAGGAUAGCUUCCCGCAGCCACUGCAGCAGGUCCAGCUCUGGAAGAUAAA